rnacentral:lncRNA from 1 species
CUGGUGGUGAGGCUGCAGCUCCCUGUUUAAGAACCAUGAGUGGUUGUGAGUGUUGCUUCUUCUCUCUGUUUCCACUAGGAAUGAGUGAAAGGUGAUGGUAGGGAUGAUUGAGUGGAAGGAAGGGAAUCCCUUCUGCAGAGAAUCAUGAAGUUUCACAGCAUCAAAGGGCAGGCUAUCUCUGCCAUAACUUGAAACUGUAGACCUGAGACAGAUGGAUUUCAUCUGCGCUGGAUGUGAAACAAAAGCAUAAGUGUAUGAAAGCAUCAGAGAGACUACAUAAUUCUCAUGGAGACUGCAAAGAGGAGGAUGCUUGCUUUGUUUAUUCAUCUUUGAGGUAAUCCCUUCCAGAACAAGAUACACUGCAUUUACCAUGGGAUUCUGUUUCAUUUCAAAC